CAAAGAUAUAUUCCUAAAGCAUAAGAACAUAAAAAGAUUAAAAAUAAAAGGACAUUAAAAAUACCAUGUAAAAAUAGGCCAGCCAUAGUGGCUCACACUUGUAAUCGCAGCAUUUUGAAGGCCCAAGGUAGAUGGAUUGCUUGAGGCCAGCAGCUCAAGACCAGUGUGGGAAAUAUGGUGCAACCCCAUCUCUACAAAAACUACAAAAAUUAGAAGGGUGUGGUGGUAUGUGCCUGUGGUCCCAGCCACUCAGGAGGCUAAGGUAGAAGAAUCACCUGAGCCAGGGAGGUCAGGGCUGCAGUGAGCCGAGAUAGCACCACUGCACUCCAGCCUAGGCAACCCUGUCUCUAAGGAAAAAAAAAAACUUAAAAAAAAAACAACCAACCAACCAAACAAAAAACUAAAGGCAAUGAGUACAAUAGAAUGAUGAUUAAAAAAGGAAUAAUUCACCAGGAAUACGAAAUAGUUCAAAAUUUUAUGCACCUAAUA
rnacentral:lncRNA from 1 species